AUUGAACGCUGGCGGCAUGCUUUACACAUGCAAGUCGAACGGUAACAGGCCGCAAGGUGCUGACGAGUGGCGAACGGGUGAGUAAUGCAUCGGAACGUGCCCAGUCGUGGGGGAUAACGCAGCGAAAGCUGCGCUAAUACCGCAUACGAUCUAUGGAAGAAAGCGGGGGAACGUAAGGCCUCGCGCGAUUGGAGCGGACGAUGUCAGAUUAGGUAGUUGGUGGGGUAAAGGCUCACCAAGCCAACGAUCUGUAGCGGGUCUGAGAGGACGACCAGCCACACUGGGACUGAGACACGGCCCAAACUCCUACGGGAGGCAGCAGUGGGGAAUUUUGGACAAUGGGCGCAAGCCUGAUCCAGCAAUGCCGCGUGCAGGAAGAAGGCCUUCGGGUUGUAAACUGCUUUUGUACGGAACGAAAAGGCUCUGGAUAAUACCUGGGGCUCAUGACGGUACCGUAAGAAUAAGCACCGGCUAACUACGUGCCAGCAGCCGCCGUAACAC
rnacentral:rRNA from 1 species